GACGAACGCUGGCGGCGUGCUUAACACAUGCAAGUCGAACGGAAAGGCCCUGCUUUUGUGGGGUGCUCGAGUGGCGAACGGGUGAGUAACACGUGAGUAACCUGCCCUUGACUUUGGGAUAACUUCAGGAAACUGGGGCUAAUACCGGAUAGGAGCUCCUGCUGCAUGGUGGGGGUUGGAAAGUUUCGGCGGUUGGGGAUGGACUCGCGGCUUAUCAGCUUGUUGGUGGGGUAGUGGCUUACCAAGGCUUUGACGGGUAGCCGGCCUGAGAGGGUGACCGGCCACAUUGGGACUGAGAUACGGCCCAGACUCCUACGGGAGGCAGCAGUGGGGAAUAUUGCACAAUGGGCGGAAGCCUGAUGCAGCAACGCCGCGUGCGGGAUGACGGCCUUCGGGUUGUAAACCGCUUUCGCCUGUGGCGAAGCGUGAGUGAUGGUAAUGGGUAAAGAAGCACCGGCUAACUACGUG
rnacentral:rRNA from 1 species